rnacentral:rRNA from 1 species
AACGAACGCUGGCGGCAUGCCUAACACAUGCAAGUCGAACGGGAUCCUAGCUUGCUAGGUGAGAGUGGCGGACGGGUGAGUAACACGUGGGAAUCUGCCUUUUGGUUCGGGAUAACCGCGGGAAACUGCGGCUAAUACCGAAUGCCCUCGAGAGAGGAAAGAUUUAUCGCCAGAAGAGGAGCCCGCGUCCGAUUAGGUAGUUGGUGGGGUAAAGGCCUACCAAGCCGACGAUCGGUAGCUGGUCUGAGAGGAUGAUCAGCCACACUGGGACUGAGAUACGGCCCAGACUCCUACGGGAGGCAGCAGUGGGGAAUAUUGGACAAUGGGGCAACCCUGAUCCAGCAAUGCCGCGUGAGUGAUGAAGGCCUUAGGGUUGUAAAGCUCUUUUGCCAGGGAAGAUGAUGACUGUACCUGGAGAAUAAGCCCCGGCUAACUUCGUGCCAGCAGCCGCGGU